AACGGCCAUACCAUGCUGAAUAUACCGGUUCUCGUUAGAUCACCGAAGUCAAGCAUCAUUGGGCGCGGUCAGUACUUGGGUGGGUGACCACCUGGGAUGGGAACACCGCGUGCCG